AGAGCGAACGCUGGCGGCAGGCCUAACACAUGCAAGUCGAGCGCCCGUAGCAAUACGGGAGCGGCAGACGGGAUAGUAACACGUGGGAACGCGCCCUUCGGUUCGGAAUAACUCAGGGAAACUUGAGCUAAUACCGAAUACGCCCUUACGGGGAAAGAUUUAUUGCCGAAGGAACGGCCCGCGUCCGAUUAGCUAGUUGGUGAGGUAAUGGCUCACCAAGGCUACGAUCGGUAGCUGGUCUGAGAGGAUGACCAGCAUCACUGGGACUGAGACACGGCCCAGACUCUUACGGGAGGCAGCAGUGGGGAAUAUUGGACAAUGGGCGCAAGCCUGAUCCAGCCAUGCCGCGUGGAUGAUGAAGGCCUUAGGGUUGUAAAGUCCUUUUAACGGGGAGAUAAUGACGGUACCGUAGAAUAAGCCCGGCUAACUUCGCGCCAGCAGCCGC
rnacentral:rRNA from 1 species